GAUGAACGCUGACAGAAUGCUUAACACAUGCAAGUCAACUUGAACUUCGGUUUGGGUGGCGGACGGGUGAAUAACGCGUAAAGAACUUGCCUCACAGUUAGGGACAACAUUUGGAAACGAAUGCUAAUACCUAAUAUUAUGAUUUUAGGGCAUCCUAGAAUUAUGAAAGCUAUAUGCGCUGUGAGAGAGCUUUGCGUCCCAUUAGCUAGUUGGAGAGGUAACGGCUCACCAAGGCGAUGAUGGGUAGCCGGCCUGAGAGGGUGAUCGGCCACAAGGGGACUGAGACACGGCCCUUACUCCUACGGGAGGCAGCAGUGGGGAAUAUUGGACAAUGGACCAAGAGUCUGAUCCAGCAAUUCUGUGUGCACGAUGAAGUUUUUCGGAAUGUAAAGUGCUUUCAGUUGGGAAGAAAAAAAUGACGGUACCAACAGAAGAAGUGACGGCUAAAUACGUGCCAGCAGCCGCGGUAAUACGUAUGUCACAAGCGUUAUCCGGAUUUAUUGGGCGUAAAGCGCGUCUAGGUGGUUAUGUAAGUCUGAUGUGAAAAUGCAGGGCUCAACUCUGUAUUGCGUUGGAAACUGUGUAACUAGAGUACUGGAGAGGUAAGCGGAACUACAAGUGUAGAGGUGAAAUUCGUAGAUAUUUGUAGGAAUGCCGAUGGGGAAGCCAGCUUACUGGACAGAUACUGACGCUGAAGCGCGAAAGCGUGGGUAGCAACAGG
rnacentral:rRNA from 1 species